rnacentral:rRNA from 1 species
UACGGGGGGGGCAAGCGUUGUUCGGAAUUACUGGGCGUAAAGGGCUCGUAGGCGGCCAACUAAGUCAUACGUGAAAUCCCUCGGCUUAACCGGGGAACUGCGUCUGAUACUGGAUGGCUAGAGUUCGGGAGAGGGAUGCGGAAUUCCAGGUGUAGCGGUGAAAUGCGUAGAUAUCUGGAGGAACACCGGUGGCGAAGGCGGCAUCCUGGACCGAUACUGACGCUGAGGAGCGAAAGCCAGGGGAGCAAACGGG